GCUUCAUCGACGACAAAGAGCUCCAGAGGGACACUUGAGAAAGAGAGAGAAGAAAGAAACACUACAUAGAAAUUUUUAUAAUUUGGGAUCACCACCGCCCAAUGAUAUCAGAAUUUGAAUUAUUGCUAUUUGGAAGGACCCAAAGGUCAGCUCUUUUGUGCACUUGAAUUGAAUGGCUUAUUACACUAUGAGGGUUAUUGGACUGACUGUAAGGUGAGAAGAGGAAAGAUGUAAUUGAAUAUGUUCAGAGGCUCAUCAGAUGUUCUCUUGGAUUUGAGUUAAAGGAACCCUCUUUCUUGUCUGGAGGAGUUGAAAUUAUUGUUCAAAUGCAUGUGAGCGCAAUUCAAUUUCUGAGGUGUUCAGGCAUGGUUAUUUUCUAGUGAAGAGGCUUCACUUUGCUUUUUUAUGUGUCCUAUGAACAGUUCUUUUGUUCUUUGCCUUAUAUUUUUUAAAUUGUGUUGGUAUGUUGAUGUUGUG